AAGCUGUGAAUGAAAAGGUUUUCUCUAUAAACCUAGGUGGUAGGCCCCCAAAGUGUUCUCAUCUCAGGGCCUCACUGCACACACCUCCCAGCCUGAGAGCAGACAAACAGGCCCACAGCCUCUCCUCUGCUGUGGAGCAGUGCAGCUGGGCCCAGCACACACAGUGAAGCUUACUGUCCCCCCCGCAUCUGGCAGAGAUCCAGGAGCCACCAGCCUCCUGAUGGCAGGGCCUAGCUCUGGGCAUAUUCUUUGGUCUGCUUCUCUGGGACAGUAGGCCCUGCCCUCCCAGGGCCACUGAUGCGGGUGGUGACGCAGAGCUGCUGUGGCCCCUCAGCUCCGCUGGCUUGUUUAUCAGGGACAUCCAGGCUCAGGCCACCGCAUUCUCCCAGAGAGAGCCGCGGAUAGACUGGAACUCUGUGCCAUGUUGAGUGCACACGUGUGACUGCCCCUCCGUGGUACCUUCCACCUCCCUCCAUCCAUGUCUUCUCCGUGUCCUCUGCAAGAGUGAGUGCUCGAGUGGAUGCGCCUGUCCUUCUAGGUCUCUUGGCUGCUCUCAAGGCAAUUCUAACUUGGAGACUUUCAGCUCCUUCAAAGACUAUUAAUCCCUCUCGCCUAGCACAGCUCCUCAGCCGUGGUGUGGCAGCUGAGGAGUUGGGUUUCGGGGAGAGCGACUUUUUAAAAAGGACUUAAUUUCUACUACUGCACUAUCCGUUGUGAGAUAAUUAAACAUGCUAUUUAAUUGUG
rnacentral:lncRNA from 1 species